AACUCCCUCUAUACUUACAAUAUGAAUUAGAUAAUUCAGAAUAAACAUUCCAUUGGAAAAAACUAAACAAUUUGUUAUAAAAACAUCCUUAAAAGCAUCAGAAAGUUAAUACAGCAAUGAAGAAUGACAGGACCAAAUUAAGAAUGGUAUGAAAGCCUGUUUGUGACGCUUAUGUUUGGGUUAUCUCUUUACUUAGAGUGACUAUAAAUCUCAAAAUAGAACUAAAGUGAGAAAUAACCGUAUCUACUAAUAUGGUAAGGGUACUUAAACAUCUCUUAGUAAUUGAGAAAAUUGAAAGAAAAGAAAAAAGAGAAAGAGAGAAAGAGAAACAGUGGAAGGGAUAAUGAAGGAGAGAAAGAAGAGAAAGGAAGAGGAAGAAAAGUAAAAGAGGAGGAGGGGGAAGGAGGAAGGAAGAAAGGUGAAAAGAAAGAAUGGUCUGCCAGCAACAACUUCAGUUAGUAUUUCUGUUU
rnacentral:lncRNA from 10 species